AAACGUUAUUUUCUCACUCAAAACCUUUCUUUUCAACUCUUUUUGCCAAAAGAGUUGAAAAGAAAGGUUUUGAGUGAGAAAAUAACUCAACAACCA
rnacentral:miRNA from 1 species